rnacentral:rRNA from 1 species
CCUACGGGUGGCUGCAGUGGGGAAUAUUGGACAAUGGGCGAAAGCCUGACCCAGCCAUGCCGCGUGUGUGAAGAAGGCCUUCGGGUUGUAAAGCACUUUCAGUGGGGAAGAAAGCCUUGGGGCUAAUACCCUCGAGGAAGGACAUCACCCACAGAAGAAGCACCGGCUAACUCCGUGCCAGCAGCCGCGGUAAUACGGAGGGUGCGAGCGUUAAUCGGAAUUACUGGGCGUAAAGCGCGCGUAGGCGGUCUGAUAAGCCGGUUGUGAAAGCCCCGGGCUCAACCUGGGAACGGCAUCCGGAACUGUUAGGCUAGAGUGCAGGAGAGGAAGGUAGAAUUCCCGGUGUAGCGGUGAAAUGCGUAGAGAUCGGGAGGAAUACCAGUGGCGAAGGCGGCCUUCUGGACUGACACUGACGCUGAGGUGCGAAAGCGUGGGUAGCAAACAGGAUUAGAUACCCGAGUAGUC